UACGUAGGGACCAAGCGUUUGUUCGGAUUUACUGGGCGUAAAGGGCUCGUAGGCGGCCAACUAAGUCAGACGUGAAAUCCCUCGGCUUAACCGGGGAACUGCGUCUGAUACUGGAUGGCUUGAAUCCGGGAGAGGGAUGCGGAAUUCCAGGUGUAGCGGUGAAAUGCGUAGAUAUCUGGAGGAACACCGGUGGCGAAGGCGGCAUCCUGGACCGGCAUUGACGCUGAGGAGCGAAAGCGUGGGGAUCAAACAGG
rnacentral:rRNA from 1 species